ensembl:snoRNA
AAUGAGGUCUGUCUCGAUGGGGCUUUGUCUGCAGACCCACACCCUUGGAAACGCCUCAUGGAGGAACUGUGUGGUUUGCUUUACUUGCAGAACUAGUGGUUGCCUCUGUGAGGACGAACUACAAGACAUAU